rnacentral:rRNA from 1 species
UACGGAGGGUCCAAGCGUUAAUCGGAAUUACUGGGCGUAAAGCGCGCGUAGGCGGUUUAGCAAGUUGUAUGUGAAAGCCCAGGGCUCAACCCAGGAACUGCAUCUUGAACUGGCAAUCUUGAGUCCGUGAGAGGGGGGUAGAAUUCCAGGUGUAGAGGUGAAAUUCGUUGAUAUCUGGAGGAAUACCGGUGGCGAAGGCGGCCCCCUGGCACGGUACUGACGCUGAGGCACGAAAGCGUGGGGAGCAAACAGG